GAUGAACGCUGGCGGCGUGCCUAAUACAUGCAAGUCGAACGAACGGACGAGAAGCUUGCUUCUCUGAUGUUAGCGGCGGACGGGUGAGUAACACGUGGAUAACCUACCUAUAAGACUGGGAUAACUUCGGGAAACCGGAGCUAAUACCGGAUGAUAUUUUGAACCGCAUGGUUCAAAAGUGAAAGACGGUCUUGCUGUCACUUAUAGAUGGAUCCGCGCUGCAUUAGCUAGUUGGUAAGGUAAUGGCUUACCAAGGCAACGAUGCAUAGCCGACCUGAGAGGGUGAUCGGCCACACUGGAACUGAGACACGGUCCAGACUCCUACGGGAGGCAGCAGUAGGGAAUCUUCCGCAAUGGGCGAAAGCCUGACGGAGCAACGCCGCGUGAGUGAUGAAGGUCUUCGGAUCGUAAAACUCUGUUAUUAGGGAAGAACAUAUGUGUAAGUAACUGUGCACAUCUUGACGGUACCUAAUCAGAAAGCCACGGCUAACUACGUG
rnacentral:rRNA from 1 species